rnacentral:rRNA from 1 species
AUUGAACGCUGGCGGCAUGCCUUACACAUGCAAGUCGAACGGCAGCACGGGAGCAAUCCUGGAGGCGAGUGGCGAACGGGUGAGUAGAGCAUCGGAACGUGCCCAGUCGUGGGGGAUAGCCCGGCGAAAGCCGGAUUAAUACCGCAUACGACCUGAGGGUGAAAGCGGGGGACCUUAGGGCCUCGCGCGAUUGGAGCGGCCGAUGUCAGAUUAGGUAGUUGGUGGGGUAAAGGCCUACCAAGCCGACGAUCUGUAGCUGGUCUGAGAGGACGACCAGCCACACUGGGACGGAGACACGGCCCAGACUCCUACGGGAGGCAGCAGUGGGGAAUUUUGGACAAUGGGCGCAAGCCUGAUCCAGCAAUGCCGCGUGCAGGAAGAAGGCCUUCGGGUUGUAAACUGCUUUUGUACGGAACGAAACGGUCCGGGCUAAUACCCUGGGCUAAUGACGGUACCGUAAGAAUAAGCACCGGCUAACUACGUGCCAGCAGCCGCGGUAAUAC